UACAGAGACUGCAAGCGUUAUUCGGAUUCACUGGGCGUAAAGGGUGCGCAGGCGGCCGUAUGUGUGAGGCGUGAAAGCCUGGGGCUUAACCCCGGAAUUGCACCUCAAACUAUACGGCUAGAGCAUUGGAGAGGGUAGCAGAAUUCAUGGUGUAGCAGUGAAAUGCGUAGAUAUCAUGAGGAAUACCAGAGGCGAAGGCGGCUACCUGGACAAUUGCUGACGCUCAGGCACGAAAGCGUGGGGAGCAAAAGGG
rnacentral:rRNA from 1 species